rnacentral:lncRNA from 1 species
CUGCCAGCAAAUAUUUAGUAGGUAUUAACAGAAUUGAGCAAUUUCUUCAGAGAGCUAACUUCGACUGUAAUUCGAGAGGGAGACAUGUUAUGAAUAAAUGAAGAGAUAUUUUUUUAUCAUCUGUAAGCUAGAGUGUAUAUUCUCCUCAAGUUUCUUUGACUCUAUGGAGCAUCUUCUUAUGUAUUUGGCUUAUGAAGUA